rnacentral:rRNA from 1 species
GUGCCAGCCGCCGCGGUAAUACCGGCAGCCCGAGUGAUGGCCGAUCUUAUUGGGCCUAAAGCGUCCGUAGCCAGCCGAACAAGUCUGUUGGGAAAUCCGCCAGCCUAACUGGCGGGCGUCCGGUGGAAACUGUGUGGCUCGGGACCGGAAGACCCGAAGGGUACGUCUUGGGUAGGAGUGAAAUCCUGUAAUCCUGGACGGACCGCCGAUGGCGAAAGCACUUCGGGAAGACGGAUCCGACGGUGAGGAACGAAAGCCAGGGUCUCGAACCGGAUUAGAAACCCGAGUAGUCC